UACGAAGGGGGCUAGCGUUGCUCGGAAUGACUGGGCGUAAAGGGCGCGUAGGCGGUUUUGACAGUCAGACGUGAAAUUCCUGGGCUCAACCUGGGGGCUGCGUUUGAUACGUCGGGACUGGAGUGCGGAAGAGGGUCGUGGAAUUCCCAGUGUAGAGGUGAAGUUCGUAGAUAUUGGGAAGAACACCGGUGGCGAAGGCGGCGACCGGGUCCGUGACUGACGAUGAGGCGCGAAAGCGUGGGGAGCAAACAGG
rnacentral:rRNA from 1 species